rnacentral:rRNA from 1 species
AUUGAACGCUGGCGGCAUGCCUUACACAUGCAAGUCGAACGGCAGCACGGGAGCUUGCUCCUGGUGGCGAGUGGCGAACGGGUGAGUAAUACAUCGGAACGUACCCUGAAGUGGGGAUAACGUAGCGAAAGUUACGCUAAUACCGCAUAUUCUGUGAGCAGGAAAGAGGGGGAUCGCAAGACCUCUUGCUUUAGGAGCGGCCGAUGUCGGAUUAGCUAGUUGGUGAGGUAAAGGCUCACCAAGGCGACGAUCCGUAGCGGGUCUGAGAGGAUGAUCCGCCACACUGGGACUGAGACACGGCCCAGACUCCUACGGGAGGCAGCAGUGGGGGAAUUUUGGACAAUGGGCGCAAGCCUGAUCCAGCCAUGCCGCGUGAGUGAAGAAGGCC